rnacentral:tRNA from 1 species
GUUUAUGUAGUUUAAUUUUAGAAUGGUAAUUUGUGGUAUUACAGGUGUAAGUUUAUCUUAAACC